GAAAUGCGAUAAGUAAUGUGAAUUGCAGAAUUCCGUGAAUCAUCGAAUCUUUGAACGCACAUUGCGCCCUCUGGUAUUCCGGGGGGCACGCCUGUCCGAGCGUCAUUUCAACCCCUCAAGCCCGGCUUGUGUGAUGGGUGACCGUCCCCCAAAGGGGACGCGCCCGAAAGGCAGUGGCGGCGUCGUGUUUAUCCGAUUUGCCUGAACGUAUGGGGCUCUGUCACACGUUCAUGGUGAGGAGCGGCGCCCGCCGACUAUUCAUCUUUUUUCUAUGGUUGACCUCGGAUCAGGUGGGGAUACCCGCUGAACUUAA
rnacentral:misc_RNA from 2 species